rnacentral:rRNA from 1 species
AAAUGAAUAGACGGGGACUCGCACAAGCGGUGGAGCAUGUGGUUUAAUUCGAUGCAACGCGAAAAACCUUACCAGGUCUUGACAUCCCUAUGACCGAUGCAGAGAUGUGUCCUUACCCUUCGGGGUACGUAGGAGACAGGUGGUGCAUGGUUGUCGUCAGCUCGUGUCGUGAGAUGUUGGGUUAAGUCCCGCAACGAGCGCAACCCUUAUCGUUAGUUGCUAACAUUAAGUUGAGCACUCUAAUGAGACUGCCAUUGACAAAAUGGAGGAAGGUGGGGAUGACGUCAAAUCAUCAUGCCCCUUAUGACCUGGGCUACACACGUGCUACAAUGGUUGGUACAAAGAGCAGCGAAACAGUGAUGUGGAGCAAAUCUCAAAAAGCCAAUCUCAGUUCGGAUUGUAGUCUGCAACUCGACUACAUGAAGUUGGAAUCGCUAGUAAUCGCGAAUCAGCAUGUCGCGGUGAAUACGUUCUCGAGUCUUGUACACACCGCCCGU